AGAGUUUGAUCCUGGCUCAGGACGAACGCUGGCGGCGUGCUUAACACAUGCAAGUCGAACGGUAAGGCCCUUCGGGGUACACGAGUGGCGAACGGGUGAGUAACACGUGGGUAAUCUGCCCUGCACAUCGGGAUAAGCCUGGGAAACUGGGUCUAAUACCGAAUAGGACCACAGGACACAUGUCCUGUGGUGGAAAGCUUUUGCGGUGUGGGAUGGGCCCGCGGCCUAUCAGCUUGUUGGUGGGGUGAUGGCCUACCAAGGCGACGACGGGUAGCCGGCCUGAGAGGGUGUCCGGCCACACUGGGACUGAGAUACGGCCCAGACUCCUACGGGAGGCAGCAGUGGGGAAUAUUGCACAAUGGGCGAAAGCCUGAUGCAGCGACGCCGCGUGGGGGAUGACGGCCUUCGGGUUGUAAACCUCUUUCACCAUCGACGAAGGUCCGGGUUUUCUCGGGCUGACGGUAGGUGGAGAAGAAGCACCGGCCAACUACGUGCCAGCAGCCGCGGUAAUACGUAGGGUGCGAGCGUUGUCCGGAAUUACUGGGCGUAAAGAGCUCGUAGGUGGUUUGUCGCGUUGUUCGUGAAAUCUCACGGCUUAACUGUGAGCGUGCGGGCGAUACGGGCAGACUUGAGUACUGCAGGGGAGACUGGAAUUCCUGGUGUAGCGGUGGAAUGCGUAGAUAUCAGGAGGAACACCGGUGGCGAAGGCGGGUCUCUGGGCAGUAACUGACGCUGAGGAGCGAAAGCGUGGGGAGCGAACAGGAUUAGAUACCCUGGUAGUCC
rnacentral:rRNA from 1 species